UACGGAGGGUGCAAGCGUUAUCCGGAUUCACUGGGUUUAAAGGGUGCGUAGGUGGGUUGGUAAGUCAGUGGUGAAAUCUCCGGGCUUAACCUGGAAACUGCCAUUGAUACUAUCAAUCUUGAAUACCUUGGAGGUGAGCGGAAUAUGUCAUGUAGCGGUGAAAUGCUUAGAUAUGACAUAGAACACCAAUUGCGAAGGCAGCUCACUACACGGCCAUUGACACUGAGGCACGAAAGCGUGGGGAUCAAACAGG
rnacentral:rRNA from 1 species